AUACCGAGGUGGCAAGCGUUGUUCGGAAUUAUUGGGCGUAAAGAGCACGUAGGUGAAUUUGUUAGUCAGAUGUGAAAGCCUUUUGUUCAACGGAAGAAUUGCAUCUGAAACUACAAACCUUGAGUAUAGGAGGGGAGAGUGGAACUUCUGGUGGAGCGGUGAAAUGCGUAGAUAUCAGAAGGAACGCCGGCGGCGAAAGCGACUCUCUGGCCUAUAACUGACACUGAGUGUGCGAAAGCUAGGGGAGCAAACGGGAUUAGAUACCAGAGUAGUCC
rnacentral:rRNA from 1 species